rnacentral:rRNA from 1 species
GUACGUCNAUCCGGCAGGCUUAACACAUGCAAGUCGAGGGGUAACAUUGUGCUUGCACAGAUGACGACCGGCGCACGGGUGCGUAACGCGUAUAGAAUCUACCUUUUACAGGGGGAUAGCCUUUAGAAAUGAAGAUUAAUAUCCCAUAGUAUUGAGACUUGGCAUCAAGACUUAAUUAAAGAUUUAUCGGUAAAAGAUGACUAUGCGUCCUAUUAGCUAGAUGGUAAGGUAACGGCUUACCAUGGCUACGAUAGGUAGGGGUCCUGAGAGGGAGAUCCCCCACACUGGUACUGAGACACGGACCAGACUCCUACGGGAGGCAGCAGUGAGGAAUAUUGGGCAAUGGAGGAAACUCUGACCCAGCCAUGCCGCGUGCAGGAAGACUGCCCUAUGGGUUGUAAACUGCUUUUAUACAGGAAGAAACACUGGUAUGUAUACCAGCUUGACGGUACUGUAAGAAUAAGGACCGGCUAACUCCGUGCCAGCAGCCGCGGUAAUACGGAGGGUCCGAGCGUUAUCCGGAAUCAUUGGGUUUAAAGGGUCCGCAGGCGGUCAAUUAAGUCAGAGGUGAAAUCCCAUAGCUUAACUAUGGAACUGCCUUUGAUACUGGUUGACUUGAGUCAUAUGGAAGUAGAUAGAAUGUGUAGUGUAGCGGUGAAAUGCAUAGAUAUUACACAGAAUACCGAUGGCGAAGGCAGUCUACUACGUAUGUACUGACGCUCAUGGACGAAAGCGUGGGGAGCGAACAGGAUUAGAUACCCUGGUAGUCCACGCCGUAACGAUGGAUACUAGUUU